UGCAGCAACCUUCAGCCUCCUCAGUCGCCGUCCCCUUCGACAUACACACACACAUUUCUCUGUGUAUACUGCGUUCUCGGCCCAUCAUCUCCCUGCAUCAUGGUCGACACAUCUUCGUCUGCCGCGGCCUCAGCCUCGCCAGCCGUCACGACCUCUGCCGACGCGACAACGCCGGUGGUGAUCCUUGUGGUAGGCAUGGCCGGUACUGGCAAAACAACGCUGGUGCAUCGCAUGCAGCACUACGCCCACACGAGCGGCAUCCGCUCGUACUUCAUCAAUCUCGACCCCGCCGUGACCCACACCCCGUAUAACGUGAACAUCGACAUCCGUGACAGCGUGCAGUAUGGGGAGGUCAUGAAGAACUACCGGCUGGGCCCGAACGGCGCCAUCAUGACGUCGCUGAACCUCUUCGCCACAAAGAUUCACCAGGUCGUGUCGCUGCUGGAGAAGAAGAAGGAGACGCUGGACUGGAUCAUCGUGGACACACCUGGCCAGAUUGAGGUGUUCACAUGGUCCGCCUCAGGGCAUCUCAUCGCGGAUUCCUUUGGCGCUGUGCUCCCCACGGUGCUCCUCUUUGUCGCGGACACGGUGCGUUGUGUGAGCAGCCCGCAAACCUUCGUGUCGACCAUGUUGUACUCGAGCGGCAUCAUGCUCAAGCAGCAGGUGCCCCUCGUCGUGGUGUUCAACAAGACCGACGUGGUGUCUGCAGACUCGGUGAUUGCGUGGAUGCGGGACAACGACGCGCUCGACGAGGCCGUGACCAACCCCCGUCGCAGCAAUCAGAGCAGACGCGCCGUCUCCGGAGAGCCCGGCGAUGGCGAGGACGCCGACUGGAGGGGCGAGGGCACGCGCAUCGGGGUGGCCGCGCUCGGCUCCCAGGACGUGCUGCUCGCCAACCAGGGGAACAGCUAUGCGGGGACACUGGCGCAGUCUAUGUCUCUGUUUCUGCAUGAGUUCUACGAAGACUUACCGUACGCGGCAGUAUCGGCGGCAUCGGGUGCGGGCAUGAGCGAGCUCGCAGCCUCCAUUGAGCGGGGCAAGCAACAAGCACUGGAGGCAAAGGCAGCGCGUAGUGCACACUGAAGAACUCUUCGGAGGUGGUGUGUCGUUCUCGGCGUGCCAUGCGCAUGAGGCUGCCCUCCCCCCUCCCCCUUGCAAUGCCGCCUUGUUGGAUUUCUUGUCUUGUAUAUAUAUAUAUAUGUGUUUGUGCUCCCUGUCUGCACAAGGCAAGGUAGCGCGUGUAGCCACCGCGUCAUGUCAAUACCGGUGCGCGGUGGCUACACAAUGCAUCGGAUCAUCACCUUUCUUAUGCGCGCGUGUGCCUGUAUGAGCAGGAGGUUGGCCUGAGGGGCAUGAGGAGCAUCUGGGGAAGUUACGAGACAGAGAAGCGACGCGUGCGUGGUAGUGCUUGCGCAUCUCUUGCUCUACGCAUCAUCGUACACAGAGGCCUACAGCUACACAGCGGCACAAGUGCGGUCGACCUUUUCUUUUCCGUCGACAGCGCGAUUGGCGUUUGAGGGGCCAGUCUUGAAGUGGUGCUCCGUAACAUCACAAGA
rnacentral:misc_RNA from 1 species